UACAGAGGUGGCAAGCGUUGUUCGGAAUUACUGGGCGUAAAGGGCGCGUAGGCGGUUCGUUAAGUCCUGUGUGAAAUCCCCCGGCUCAACUGGGGAACUGCACAGGAAACUAGCGGGCUUGAGUUCGGGAGAGGGAAGCGGAAUUCCGCGUGUAGCAGUGAAAUGCGUAGAGAUGCGGAGGAACACCGAUGGCGAAGGCAGCCCCCUGGGCCAAUACUGACGCUCAGGCACGAAAGCGUGGGGAGCAAACAGG
rnacentral:rRNA from 1 species